rnacentral:rRNA from 1 species
UAGGGAAUCUUCCACAAUGGGGCGCAAGCCUGAUGGAGCAACACCGCGUGAGUGAAGAAGGGUUUCGGCUCGUAAAGCUCUGUUGUUAAAGAAGAACACGUAUGAGAGUAACUGUUCAUACGUUNACGGUAUUUAACCAGAAAGUCACGGCUAACUACGUGCCAG